CCUGCGUCGGUUUCACUCUGCAGGAACUCAGUGUUGCUGUAUGACUGUCUGACCUUCUUUGCAAAGAAUAAAAGCUUUAUUUUUAAUUAUACCUGAGAAUGAGUCUGUCUCUUAUGCUGAUGAGAGUUGAUUAAAAAUUUUGCCACGGCAGACACAACGAAGCAUAUCAUCAAGCAGUGGAAACACUGUGUCAACGGAUCAAGACUGACUUUCCAGUCAGAGUGAACACCUCCAAAAUCACGAAGAAGAGCAGGGGACAAAGUCUGUCUCAGGCUGAUCCAGAUGUUUGCUUUUACUGGUGCAGAAGGGACAUUGAAAAAUUUCACUGUGCACAUUUGAUCAACCAAACGGCGGCUGGACCAGAGAAAGCUGAGGCAGACUGACAACAGAGACUUUCACAGCAGAACCUGGAGAAGAAGGGGGGAGUCGGGAGCAAAGUCCACCAAGGCCACGCAGCACAAACAGAUAAGUCUGAAAACACACACAUUUUCUCUAAAGCUCACUGCAAUGAAGAAAGAAUGCUUGCUCAUGUUUCUGCUCACUGCAACGAAGAAAAUAUGCUUGCUCAUAUUUCCGCUCUUAGCAAUGAAGAAAAAUGCUUGCUUUAAUACAUGAUCAUAUUGAAAGAUUAGAAAAUGAUAAAUCUUCUCUCGACAAGAACAUAGGCACAUAAAUUAGCUUACAAACAAAUGCCACAUAGAUUAUGGGUUAAUGGAGUUGAAAAACUAAUUAGAAAGGAUGAAAUAGAUCCAAUUCCAAAAAUUACGUGGAAAUUUAGUUUGGUCUAUUACUGCAUCUGGUUAUAUGGUCAGAGAAAAUUUCACUGUACCAUUGAGAUGUAAAGAUUAGAAUGGCAUUAACUUUAAGCAUUGUUUACUAAAAAAACUUUUGUCAGAAAACUGCCUUCAAAAUGAGUAAGAAAGAGAUUUAAUGUGAAACUGGGAAGUGGCCCAGUGCCAAAUUCAAACUUCAGCUCAAUCCAACAAUGGCAGUUCUAUAUUUACCAGUGUAAACGCAAAGAUGAUGAAUUAUGUGAAAAGUUUGUCAAGGCUGCAAAAAACAGUUUCACCUAAUUCUGAAUUAAGCAAUUCUCUGAUUUACAUUGCUCAGCACAUAUAUCAUUGGGAAAAGAUUACAUUUUAGAACAAAAAUGGUUUUAUGUAUAGAAACAGACCUGAAAUAGUUAAUUGAGACAUAAAAUAGAUGCGCUGUUUCUAUUGAUUUGAGAAACAGCAAAUGUUGUUUGAUUCUCUUCCACAUGUUUCAUUGUCCAAAAAAGAACAAUGACCAUAGGGAAGACAUUGGUUUAUUUGUAUAUGUGUAUUUUUCAUGUGAAUUGGGUGGAGACAGCAGAGGAAAAUGUUGAAUACAAUCCAACACUGUCUGCAUACCGAAUGUGUUUGCACGGGACUGCUGUUAAAGCUGUACGUACAGUAUGUGAUUGAUGACACAAUGACAACAACCUUUCUCUCAGGAGAGAAAGCAGAGACUCACCCAGUGCUCAAAGAAUUCCCUACAACACUUUGGGUUUUAUCUAAAUUUGACUUGGGGCUUGUUAAAAAUUGGGAACCAGUUCAAGUCAAUCCAAAAUCUGAUUACAGACUCUGUGAACACCAGUUUUUGAAUCAUUAAGAGCAGCUGGGGUAAUUGUGCUCUGUGAAAAUUCUCCUGUGCAUACACCUAUUUUCACUGUUAAAAGAUAAAGAAAUAUGCAAACAAGACACUGUAAAACUUUUAAAACUUUUGGCUGCUGAGGGUCAUAAGCCAGUUUAUUAAAACUGCAGUUUGUAAAAAGGGAGGAGACAUUUUUUGGUCAUCAUCACUAAAAAUGGCAAAUUUUAAUCUGAGAAACAAAAAGAGACAAUUCAAAAGAUUCUAAAGCCUAUCAUGAAAAAGCAACUAAUGUCAUUUUGGGGCAUGUGUUCGUAUUGUUGAACGUUCAUUCCAAAUUAUGUUAUCAAAGAAUUGCCCCUGAGCGCUUUGGCUCAUGGGAAGGGAUUGCAACCCCAUGACAAACUGACCUGGAUUCCAGAAGCAGAGAGUGCAUUUAAGAAUAUAUUAUUGCUACAAACAUCACCAACCCUAGGACUCCCAGACCCAGAGAGAAAUUUUGGACAAACUGUUGAUAAGAGAAUGGGUUUCUGACUUCUGUUCUGUUACAGGAUCGUGGGGGAGACCUGUGGCCUAUUUUUAGAGUUAGCUCGAUCCGGUAACGGCAGGCAGUCCAAAAUGCCUGAGUGCUGUUGAAUAUGCAGAAAAGGCUAUUUUAGCUUCAAGGGAAAUUGUGGGGUACUCUGAUGUGACUUUGCUCAGGCCACGCACUGUCUCUGUGAUUCUGUUGGAACAGAAAACAUCCCAUUUGUCAACGGCCAGGUGUCUCCGGUACAAUGCAAUUCUAUUAGAAAUGCCAAACAUCACAAUUAAAUGAUGCACAGUGUUAAAUCCAGCUACACUGCUCCAUACGAAGCAGGAUGGGGAAGAACACAAUUGUGUUGCCACAUUUGAACAGGUCUGUCAACCAAGACCAGAUUUUAAAAGACACCCCCUUAGAAAUUGCUGACUUAAUUUUAUUAAUUGAUGGUUCGAGACCCCCCCCCCCCAAAAAAAACAGAGCAAGUUAAGCUGCAACCACUGCAUAUGCAACAAUAAGAUCUGGAGCGCUCCACGUUCAUUGCUCUUCGCAAGCGGCUGAAUUGAUAGCAUUGAUGGAAGCUUGCAAAAUUGCUGAUGGACGAACAGUUACCAUUUACACAAAUUCUUGUUUCUCUUUUGGGGUUUGUCAUGAUUUUGGGGCAUUGUGGAAACACAGGAAAUUUCUAAAGUCUAAUGGUAAGCCUGAUUUAAAUACAAUUUGAUAAAAUAGCAGCAUUGUUAGAAGCAAUUUUGUUACCAAAGUUAGUUGCUAUCUGCAAAUGCGUCACACAUUCCAAAAGUUAUGAUUUUGUGAUUUUAGGUAACAAGUAAACUGAUACCACAGCGAAAGACACAGCUAUGAGAACAGAACCUUCUUUUACCUGUGUAACAUUUAACAAUGAUUAAUUCACACUCCCUUCUGAUUAUCUUACAGCUAUGCAAGCUUUUGCCACACCAGACGACAAGAAACAAUGGGUGAAGGCUGAGUGCAAGCUAUCUUUGGCCGAUUACUGAAGACAGACCAUGUCUGCCAAAACACUUUUUCCCACACUAUGCAAAACUUGUACAUGGCCUAGAUCACAUGAGUAAAGGGGGAAUGUUUGAUUUGUUAAAUUAAUAUUGUUCCAUAAAGGGAUUCACUUCCUUUGCAGACAGGUAUUGUCACUCAUGUAUGAUCUGUGCCACAAGCAAAGUGGACAGAGGACAAAUGAUGUCUCAAGCGGCACACCCAGUUCCAAAUCAGAGAAUUGAUAAUAUAAUGUACAAUUGAAAGCAUAACUGAUAAUGCAAAUAAAAUGAUCAGUCAGAUGUGACAUAAAAGAGAAAAUUAAUGAAGUGUUGUGAGCAGACAGGACUGUUUUGGGUAAAAGAACUCCCCAUUGUGUUCAUGUACAUGAGAAUGGCAAAAAGAAGAGUCUAACUUGAGUCCAUUUGAUAUUUUGUUUGGUAGGCCAACUUCCAAUGGAGUUGGACCAGAACCACAACCACUGUCCUCUACAGCCUUGUGUGAAGAUGACAUGCUGAAGUGUAGUAGAAAGUUGUCUCUUGUUCUCUCUCAGAUAUCUCAGCAGGUCAAGGAUGCUCUGCCCAAGCCAGCGGAAGGAGUCUGGCAUGAUAUCAGGUCUUGCUGAUAACACAGAGGUUAAAGUGGCAGAGGGAGCUACGUGGAUACACGCAAGUCACUGCAGGAAGGUUCGAGCACCACCAGAGGGCUACAGCUCAGUAAAGUGAUUGACCAGCUGCCCCGUGCCAAGGGGGAUGUCUGGCUGACUGAGGAAACUUGUUGGGGAGGAUUCGAUGUCUGUUGAGAACCAUGUGAAUGUGCUACAAAGUGAGUUUCAGAAAACACAUCCAGACACCUCGACUGUCAAAGUCCACACGGCACAAAAAGUCUCCUGGAGAUGUUGAGAAAGCAUGGAAGGAAUGUCUGUGGAGGAUGUACUCAAAAAAUACCCAUACUUAAGUACACCUGCUGGAGUAUCGUUGACUGUCAGUCUGUCAGUCUAGAUGUGAGGAAGACAUGCAGAGUGGAGUUGGAGCUCAGCAGAUCGAUCUAUCUAUCUAUCUAUCUAUCUAUCUAUCUAUCUAUCUAUCUAUCUAUCUAUCUAUCUAUCUAUCUAUCUAUCUAUCUAUCUAUCUAUCUAUAUAUCUAUCUAUAUAUAUCUAUCUUUUACUUGAAUUGGCAACUGAAACUGAAAGCUAAGUAAAAGUUUUAGUGGAUAAAGCUGUAUCUGUUUGCUUAAUUGGUUAACUUAAUUGGUUAAUGUCACUUAACUUAAGGUUACUAUAAACUCUUCUGACUAAUUUUUAAAUUUGAUAAUUUGUGUGAUCAAGAGACGUUUGGAUCCUCAAAAAAUAAUUGUAAUUUGUUUUUGAUUAUUGAUAAAUCAAGACCUAAACUUGCUGUGGUGAUGGCGUCAGUAACCCGCGCCAUGCAAAAGUUUUGAAGGUACUUUUAAAAGUAAUUGAAAAUAAUAUUCUUAAUAUCAUUAACAACGUUUUUACCUUUUAAUAAUUUAAGUUGGUUUUAUAGGGUUAUAUUGAAUGUAUUGCUUCCUUUUAAUCUGUAGGUGAUUAUGGCUUGCCAACAUUUUUUUUUUUUUUAACAGACAGCUUUCGCAUUACCUUUUGGCACGCCACCACCUUUGGCACGCCCAUUGCUCCAAGCUGCAGCUUCCCCACUAGCUUUUAUGUGCCUCACAUGUAGCUUUGUCUUUUGUUCAUCACCACUCACCUCUACACCAACACAAACACAACUGUAAAGGGAGGGGCUUCACUUCUGUGGCUCUCAGCACAUCUUAAAAAUCAAGUUUAGCCACGUAUGUUGGAAUCUGUCGAAGACUGUGAGGAGAUGGUGCUUUUCCAACAACAAAGUAUGAGGAACUUACGCGUUAUCUUAAUCUUUUCGUGCUGGUUGUAAUGGCAGCCCCCGCAGUUUUCUGUACUGCAGCUACCUCAGCAGUGUGCAAUGAUGCAUGCAGAACCAUGCAAAUGAUUUCAAGAUAGGGCUGAUCUGAAAACGAUAUCGUCCCUUUGGACAGGGAAGUGUAGGCCUACAAUGACCGUCAAAAUAUUACAAAUGUUAUAACAUUUUUUAGAUGAGCCUUUGUCCUAAGAUUUCUUUACUAUUCGACUAUUUUCUUCCCUCUUCAAAAAUAAAUAAAAAAAUAAAUAAUAAAAAUUCCCUUCUUCCAAAACCUUUUUUCUGUCUUCAAAAACGUUUUUCUCUACAAGAAGCAACACAAGAAAACAGAAAUAAGUUAUAUAUACAAAGAAAAAAAAAGUGUAUGAGUGUUUGCAUCAGUGAAAGUAGGUCUAUAAGUUCUUAGUAUUCAAUAGCAUACAGUCAAUAUUCAUACUGGUUUUCCCAAAUGUUACUUGUUUUGUUUAAAUUUGCUCAGUAUAUAGUGGUGGAAAAAAAACAAGCAAAAAAAUUUAUAAAACUAAAUUAUAGUAAUAUCUUAAAAACCAACUUGCAAUUUGACUCCAUUAGUAUUAUACAAAAAAAUUUGGUUUAGGAACAUGUACACUUUUGCACAUUUGCAUAGACUUUGUAUAUUUAAAUGAAUUAUGUAGCAUUAGAGAUCUACAAAUUCCGAUGAACUGUAUUAUAGGUUAAAGUAAUAUAAAAAUAUUUCAAUCAAUAUAUAUGGAUUUAUUUUUUUGUAUUUAUUCAUUGAUAUAUUUCAGAAUUCAUCAUGCUUAAUUCGUGUUACUUAAAAUGUAUCUAACCAUUAUGUUUUUUUAUACUGUUGAAAAAUUGUUAUGUUAAGUGUGUCAUUGGCAUCUAUCCACCUAUUUCUUCAACACGGAAGUAAGCCUAUGGGUGAGACUUCCAGGUUCAUUAGAAGCAAGGAGAAUAACAAACCUGAAGUAAAGGGUAAAACGGUUUGCACUACAUAACCAGUGUGCUCUUAAUUAAAAAAAAAACAUUAAAAUAAUAUGAUAAGACACACCAACUUUCAAUAUCAAGCAGCAAACGAAUUGUUUUGUUAAGCUAAAAAUAGCUGGACGGAGUGGACGCAGAUGAGACCGGAAACCAGACCCAUAGAAUACACAAAUGACCCCGCCCAUUUUUACGACAAGAAAAAGGUGAAUACAAUAGCCAGUAAUGUGUUUAUUUAAGUUAAAGUGUAUAUUCAUAAACACAUGU